GAUGGAAGAACGCAGCAAAAUGCGAUAAGUAAUGUGAAGUGCAGAAUUCAGUGAAUCAUCGAAUCUUUGAACGCACAUUGCGCCCGCCAGUAUUCUGGCGGGCAUGCCUGUUCGAGCGUCAUUUCAACCCUCAAGCACAGCUUGGUGUUGGGACUCGCGUUAAUUCGCGUUCCUCAAAUUGAUUGGCGGUCACGUCGAGCUUCCAUAGCGUAGUAGUAAAACCCUCGUUACUGGUAAUCGUCGCGGCCACGCCGUUAAACCCCAACUUCUGAAUGUUGACCUCGGAUCAGGUAGGAAUACCCGCUGAACUUAAGCAUAUCAAUAAGCGGAGGA
rnacentral:misc_RNA from 1 species